CUAUCUAUCUAUCUAUCUAUCUAUCUAUCUAUCUAGUCAUUCACUGAAUGUGGAACUCAGGAAUUUAGCUACCCAGGCUGGCAACUGAGCCCCAGGAAUCUGCCUGACUCUGUUUCCCCUUCUCUAGUAUUACAAGCAUGCACUACCACACCUUGCUUAUUUUAUAUGGUUCUGAGAAUCAAAUCCAGGUCCUCAUGCUUGUGCCUCAAGUUGUUUAGCCUGUGUGAUCUAAGAGGAACAUGAGAAGGCCAGUUUAGAGAUUGGAGGUCACUCUUUGGGAAUCUGCAGUGAGAUCAUCAUUUGGGACAAUGGAUUGUGCAGACAAUAAGCACAGAGCAGGUUGUUGUGAUCAGCUAGUCUUAAUGUCGACCCCAAAAGUAGAGGGUUUUUACUACGUGGUAUUUGAGAGCUAUCAUGCUAACCAAUCACUGGAACUCAAAACAGAGCAUGUUGUUGCUUCAAUUUCAGAAUGUAAGUUUUGUGAAGUGUCAUAUACAUACCCACCAUUCCACAUUCAAGAUGGCAUUCUGUCAAAAUUAGUUUUGUAGGACGGCUAUCACCAUCAUCUUAAGUGAUGAUGCAUGCAUUUGGCAUUUGGCAGAGACAAGUUAAUCUCUGUGAGUUAAAGGCCAGCAUGGACUACAUAUUAAGUUCCAGGACAACAGGGCUAUGUAGAAAGACUCUGACUCAAAAAGGAAAAAAAUAGAAAAGAAACAACAAACAGAAAGUUAACUUUUGAGUUUAGCAGUGAGAUCCCUUGGGAUGGAUCACUAGGGCUUUUUUGUGUGUCCUUAGUGAUUCCAGUUGACAUAAAACAACUACUAAUGUUAUUUGAGGAAGAGGAUUGGGAACUAGAUGAUUUUGCCGUGAAAAGCAGAUCACUGUCUAUGCUAUACAUCUGGGAGAUGUGCAGGAGGACUUACAGUUUUUAUCCAGUGUCUUUGCAUUCAAGGGUGACCUAGAGUCCAUUGCCCAGUCCAUCCUGGAUAUACCUGUUUGUGAACAAAGGUUACUGUCACAAAACCACUUGGAACCAAUACGAGCAACCUGUCUGGUUCCAGGUCUCCAAAUCUAUUUGGUAUCAGAGAAUCAAUUUCCUUAGUAAUAUGGUUGAAUUACAAUCAACAUCAAGGAUCCAUCUGAACUGUCAGGAAGUCUAUCUGUAGUCAUCCCCAAUCUGGAAAGGUCCUUCCUGUAUCUGUGAUUACCUGGUCCAAUUGGAGAAGCUAUGGAACAUUUGUUUGAAGUUGAGCCACAGACUCACUACUAAAGAAGAAACUUGCUGGGUUGUGGUCAUGCACAUCUUUAAUUCCAACACUCUGGAGGCAGAGACUGUUCAAACAAUGGGCUGGAAGAAAUUGCAGUUCCCCAAGACCCUCGUUCUGGAAGAAGAGAAAGAUUAAAGCCUGGACCAGCCAGAGAGGAAACUUAUCUCCUGGAACUUAUAAACCACUGUGCAGAAGACAUUCCAGUCUUAAACUGUAACCUCGGAUCAGGACCCUGAAGAUAGACUUG